UUACGGCUACAUCACGUUUAAACACCGGUUCCCGUACGAUCACCGAAGUUAAGCAAUGUUGAGUCUGGUCAGUACCUAGAGAGGUGACCAUUUGGAAAUACUGGGUGCU